UAUAUCGCCCUUUAUUCUGCACACCGAUUCUGAACACCUCAAGAGAUACAACGCUGUUAUUGGUAACGGUGUGCCCCUUGAGGUGUUUAGAAUGAUGGUGUAUACACAUUGAACGUCUCGA
rnacentral:precursor_RNA from 9 species